rnacentral:tRNA from 1 species
AGUUUUAUAGUGUAUAAAGCACAACAGAUUGCAAGUCUGGAAGAAGCUAUCAAGCUUAAAACUU